rnacentral:rRNA from 1 species
AGGAUUAACGCUGGCGGCGUGCAUGAAACAUGCAAGUCGAGCGCGGUGUGAUGCGGGGUAACCCAAUUCACAUCUAGCGGCGAACGGGUGAGUAACACGUGAGCAACCUACCUUUGAGUUGGGGAUAGCCCUGGGAAACCAGGAUUAAUACCCGAUGUGGUCACAACAGGACAUCCUGAUGUGAGUAAAGGCGCAAGCCGCUCAAUGACGGGCUCGCGGCCUAUUAGCUUGUUGGUGGGGUAACGGCCUACCAAGGCGAUGAUGGGUAGCUGGUCUGAGAGGACGAUCAGCCACACUGGGACUGAGACACGGCCCAGACUCCUACGGGAGGCAGCAGUUAGGAAUUUUCCGCAAUGGGCGAAAGCCUGACGAGCAACGCCGCGUGAGUGAUGAAGACCUUAGGGUUGUAAAGCUCUGUCGGAGGGAAGAACACAAUGACGGUACCUCCAAGAAGCCCGGCUAACUACGUGCCAGCAGCCGCGGUAAU